rfam:Solanum tuberosum cultivar DM 1-3 516 R44 scf00126_18, whole genome shotgun sequence.
GCCGUUAUGGUGAAAUUGGUAGACACACUACUCUUAGGAAGUGGUACUAAUGCAUCUCGGUUCGAGUCCGAGUGACGGUA